rnacentral:rRNA from 1 species
GAUGAACGCUGGCGGCGUGCCUAAUACAUGCAAGUCGAGCGAACAGACGAGGAGCUUGCUCCUCUGACGUUAGCGGCGGACGGGUGAGUAACACGUGGAUAACCUACCUAUAAGACUGGGAUAACUUCGGGAAACCGGAGCUAAUACCGGAUAAUAUAUUGAACCGCAUGGUUCAAUAGUGAAAGACGGUUUUGCUGUCACUUAUAGAUGGAUCCGCGCCGCAUUAGCUAGUUGGUAAGGUAACGGCUUACCAAGGCAACGAUGCGUAGCCGACCUGAGAGGGUGAUCGGCCACACUGGAACUGAGACACGGUCAAGACUCCUACGGGAGGCAGCAGUAGGGAAUCUUCCGCAAAGGGCGAAAGCCUGACGGAGCAACGCCGCGUGAGUGAUGAAGGUCUUCGGAUCGUAAAACUCUGUUAUUAGGGAAGAACAAAUGUGUAAGUAACUAUGCACGUCUUGACGGUACCUAAUCAGAAAGCCACGGCUAACUACGUG